rnacentral:rRNA from 1 species
AUUGAACGCUGGCGGCAGGCCUAACACAUGCAAGUCGAACGAGUGGCGGACGGGUGAGUAAUGCCUGGGAAACUAGCUGAUGGAGGGGGAUAACUACUGGAAACGGUAGCUAAUACCGCCUACCAUAGGAUGAGCCCAAGUGGGAUUAGGUAGUUGGUGGGGUAAAGGCUCACAAAGCCGACGAUCUCUAUCUGGUCUGAGAGGAUGACCAGCCAGACUGGGACUGAGAGACGGCCAAUACUCCUACGGGAGGCAGCAGUGGGGAAUAUUGGGCAAUGGGGUCAACCCUGACGCAGCAAUGCCGAGUGUAUUAAGAAGGCCUUCGGAGUGUAAAGUUCGUUUGGUAGAGAUGCGUUAACUACAGAAGAAGCACCGGCUAACUCGGUGCCAGCAGCCGCGGUAAUUC